AAAUUGAAGAGUUUGAUCAUGGCUCAGAUUGAACGCUGGCGGCAGGCCUAACACAUGCAAGUCGAACGGUAACAGGAAGCAGCUUGCUGCUUCGCUGACGAGUGGCGGACGGGUGAGUAAUGUCUGGGAAACUGCCUGAUGGAGGGGGAUAACUACUGGAAACGGUGGCUAAUACCGCAUAACGUCGCAAGACCAAAGAGGGGGACCUUCGGGCCUCUUGCCAUCAGAUGUGCCCAGAUGGGAUUAGCUAGUUGGUGAGGUAACGGCUCACCAAGGCGACGAU
rnacentral:rRNA from 1 species